rnacentral:rRNA from 1 species
AUGGCGCGGCCGCUCGCCCUCGCCCUCGCGCUCCUCGCCGUGUCAGUGACAGUGCUUCCGCUUGUCAGCUCCGCUGACGACUACGCGCGCUGCGAGGGGGCGGUCAAGGGCUGGGCGGACUCAGCCGGGGAGGGCGACAAUGCCGGAGACAAACUGAACCUCAAGGAUUUGCUCUUCUUCCUUCACAUUCCUAGAACCGGUGGGCGUACCUACUUCCACUGUUUCUUGAAGAAGCUGUAUACGAAUGCUCAGGAAUGCCCCCGCUCCUAUGAUAAGCUGCGGUUCGACCCGAGCCAUCCUGAUUGCACGCUAGUUGUUAGCCAUGAUGACUAUAGCUUAACUUCCAAGCUGCCAAGGGAGAGGACUUCCGUGGUCACAAUACUACGAAAUCCAGUUGAUCGUGUGUUUAGCACGUAUGAGUUCUCCGUGGAAGUUGCAGCCAGAUUUCUUGUGCAUCCAAACUUAACAUCUGCCAAGACAAUGACCAGCCGCGUGUUAACAAAAUCACGUGCUGUAAGUACACUGGACAUAUGGCCUUGGAAAUACUUGGUUCCAUGGAUGAGAGAAGAUCUUUUCGCCAGGAGAGAUGCUAGAGGGAAUGACAGCGUGCCAAGUAGCAAGAAAAUUAAUGCAUACGAUGUGGAAGACAUGGUUAUGCCAUUGCACCAGUACAUCAAUGACCCUGUUGCCCAUGAAAUCAUUCAUAAUGGAGCUACCUUUCAGAUCACUGGGCUAACAAAUAAUUCUUACUUCGAUGGUGCACAUGAGGUUCGACAUUGUGUUAGAAAGUACCCUGAUCUUGGUCGUUUUGUGCUUCAAGUUGCUAAGAACAGGCUGGACCGUAUGCUGUACAUAGGACUUACAGAGGAUCAUGAGGAAUCUGCAAGGUUGUUCGCUCAUAUGGUAGGAGCACAAGUGCUUUCACAAUCUGGAGCGUUGAAGUUAGAUGUUCAGGAAGAUCAACCCAGUGGCACUGACUCUCACUUGUCCAUGCUGGAUCCAGAGGAUGAAGAAACAAAUGAACAUAUGAAUAGCACCCAUGGCUGGAAAAAUAAUGAAGCUCUGAACACUACUGAGGAUGAUCAUGGAAAAGGAAAUAUGACUGUUGGUAAACUGAUGGAAACUUACGAGGGUUGCAUUGCAAAACUGCGAAAGUCCCAAUCUAGCCGUCGCAGAAUAUCCCUAAAGAAGGUUGCGGCGGCAAAUUUUACGAAGGCGGCAAGGCGUCAUGUACCUGAGGCAAUUCUGAAUCAAAUUAUCUCACUGAACAGCCUUGACAUGGAACUCUAUGAGCAUGCUAAGAAGAUUUUUGAACAAGAACAUCUUAUGCUUAAAGGCCAGCAUCCGAUGGUGGUGCAGCAGAAACAAUUGGCAGAUCAAAUGGUUCGGUCAAGCUCAUAUGAAGGCCAGCAUCCCAUGGUGGUGCAACGCAAACAAUUGACAGAUCAAAAGGACUGGAUAGAUGCUGUCUGCGAGUCCUGGAGUUGCUCUACCUGGUGGAAGGUCGCCUCAUUUUGUCUUGGGAUUGCGGUCACCACUGUUUUUGUUGUGUUUGUUGUAACAGGCAGAAGAACAUUGAAACUUAAGGUUUGA